rnacentral:rRNA from 1 species
CUACGAGGUGCAGCAGUCGAGAAUCUUCCACAAUGCACGAAAGUGUGAUGGAGCGACGCCGCGUGCGAGAUGAAGGCCUUCGGGUCGUAAAUCGUUUUUAUAAGGGAAGAAUUUAGAUGACAUUACCUUAUGAAUAAGGGGUUGCUAAUUGCGUGCCAGCAGCAGCGGUAAUACGCAAACCCCAAGCGUUAUCCGGAUUUAUUGGGCGUAAAGGGUGGGUAGGCGGAUAUAGCAGUCAGUCGUUAAAUCACUGGGCUCAACCCAGUAAUCGCGAUUGAAACACUAUGUCUAGAGAUAAGUAGAGGUCAACGGAACUCAUGGUGUAGCAGUGAAAUGCGUUGAUAUCAUGGGGAACACCAAAGGCGAAGGCAGUUGACUGGGCUUUAUCUGACGCUGAGCCACGAAAGCGUGGGGAGUGAAGGGGAUUAGAUACCCGAGUAGUC